rnacentral:sRNA from 22 species
AGCUUUAAGUUAGCAGCCUGACUUGAAAGGCUGACGGCUGGUGAUUAAAAAAUCACCAGCCU